GAGUUUGAUCAUGGCUCAGAAUCAACGCUGGCGGCGUGCCUAACACAUGCAAGUCGAACGAGAAAGUGGAGCAAUCCAUGAGUAAAGUGGCGAACGGGUGAGUAACACGUGACUAACCUGCCUUCGAGUGGGGGAUAACCUCGGGAAACCGGGGCUAAUACCGCAUAACAUCCUCAGAGUGCAAUCCUCAGGGGAUCAAAGGGGUAAGACGCUUGAAGAGGGGGUCGCGGCUGAUUAGCUAGUUGGUGAGGUAAUGGCUCACCAAGGCGAAGAUCGGUAGCCGGCCUGAGAGGGCGCACGGCCACACUGGAACUGAAACACGGUCCAGACUCCUACGGGAGGCAGCAGUGGGGAAUUUUGCGCAAUGGGGGAAACCCUGACGCAGCAACGCCGCGUGGAGGAUGAAGCCCCUUGGGGCGUAAACUCCUUUCGAUCGGGACGAUUAUGACGGUACCGGAUGAAGAAGCACCGGCUAACUCUGUGCCAGCCGCCGCCGUAAC
rnacentral:rRNA from 1 species